rnacentral:rRNA from 1 species
GAGAGGGAGCAUGAGAAACGGCUACCACAUCUAAGGAAGGCAGCAGGCGCGUAAAUUACCCAAUCCUGACUCAGGGAGGUAGUGACAAGAAAUAGCAAACCGGGAACCUCAUGGUUUCACGGUAUUGCAAUGAGAACAAUUUAAAACCCUUAGCGAGAAUCAAGUGGAGGACAAGUCUGGUGCCAGCACCCGCGGUAAUUCCAGCUCCACUAGCGUAUAUUAAAGUUGUUGCAGUUAAAAAGCUCGUAGUUGAACCUCUGUCUGGGGCUAGUUUCGGCUUUGGUCAGGCUAGUUCUAGGCAUCCGCCUACAAGACUUAGAGGGCAUUCAGUUGUUCACUAGGAGGAGUAGGCAUUUUACUUUGAAAAAAUUAGAGUGUUUAAGGCAGGCAAUCGCCCGCAUAUAUUAGCAUGGAAUAAUAGAAUAGGACACUUUUCCAUUUCGUUGGUUAUUGGAAUCGUGUAAUGAUUAAUAGGGACAGUUGUGGGCAUUUGUAUUUAAUUGUCAGAGGUGAAAUUCUUGGAUUUAUUAAAGACAAACUAACGCGAAAGCAUUUGCCAAGGAUGUUUUCAUUAAUCAAGAACGAAAGUUAGGGGAUCAAAGACGAUCAGAUACCGUCCUAGUCUUAACUAUAAACUAUUCCGACUCAAUGUUUGACUGGCUUAUAUAACCAGUUGAGCGUUGUAUGAGAAAUCAAAGUCUUUAGGUUCUGGGGGGAGUAUGGUUGCAAAGCUGAAACUUAAAGGAAUUGACGGAAGAGCACGACCAGGAGUGGAUUCUGCGGCUUAAUUUGACUCAACACGGGGAAACUUACCAGGUUAAAACAAUAGUGGGAUUGACAGUUUGAGAGCGCUUUCUUGAUUGGUUGGGUGGUGGUGCAUGGCCGUUCUUAGUUGGUGGAGUGAUUUGUCUGCUUAAUUGCGUUAACGAACGAGACCUUAACCUGCUUACUAGACUGGCGAUCAUCAAUCGUUAGCUCUUCUUAGAGGGACUUUGGUUGUUUUAACUCCAAGGAAGUUUGAGGCAAUAACAGGUCUGUGAUGCCCUUAGAUAUCCUGGGCCGCACGCGUCAUACAAUGACUAGUUCAGUAAGUUUUCUCCUGACCCGAAAGGGGAUGGGUAAUCUUGAUAAUACUAGUCGUGUUAGGGAUCGAUCUUUGCAAUUAUAGAUCUUGAACGAGGAAUUCCUAGUAAGUGCGGUUCAUCAGACCGUACUGAUUACGCCCCUGCUCUUUGUACACACCGCCCGUCGCUUCUACCGAGUGGGUGGUCCGGUGAGAUAAUUGAACUUCGCAGGUAACUGAGAGGAAAGAUUAUCAAACCUAUCCACCUCGAGGAAGAAGAAGUCGUAACAAGGUU